rnacentral:rRNA from 1 species
GUCUGAACUCAAAUCAGGUAAGAUUACCCGCUGAAUUUAAGCAUAUUAAUAAGCGGAGGAAAAGAAACUAACAAGGAUUCCCUUAGUAACGGCGAGUGAAGCGGGAACAGCUCAAGCUUGAAAUCGACACUUGGUAAACAUAUGUCGAGUUGUAGCUUUUGGAAGCAGUUUCAAGCUACUGGUUGCGGUAAAAGUUCUUUUGAAUAAGACAUCAAAGAGGGUGAGAAUCCCGUCAUUGACCGCGAUUUAAGUAGUGAUGCGAACUGUUUUCUGUGAGUCGGGUUGUUUGGGAAUGCAGCCCUAAUUGGGAGGUAAAUUUCUUCCAAAGCUAAAUAUUAGUAAGAGACCGAUAGCAAACAAGUACCGUGAGGGAAAGAUGAAAAGCACUUUGAAAAGAGAGUGAAAAGUACGUGAAAUUGUUAAAAGGGAACCGGUUGGUAGCCAAGCAUUUCUUGGUGUUAGGGCAUUUAUGUCAGAGCAUUAGGAGGGUCAACAUCGAUUGCUAUUAACUGCCAGAAAGGAAAUUUUGCAGACUAGCGGAGGAAGGUAGGGAGGCGAGUUUCUGUUUCAUUCGUGAUUCAGUAUUAUGGCUUGCUUUCUGUUAUAGCCUCCAUGRGUUUGCUUUUUACGCCUAGUGGUGGUGGUGAUCGAGGACUGCAGCGCGUUUUGAGRAGUUUACUUCUUAAUGGCUUGAUUGUUUUAAAGCAUUGUAGUUGCGUUAUGGUAGACAGCAUGCUGACUGCUAUGGGUAGGCUAUAUGAUUUAAGGCAUUCAAGACUAAUCAGCGCUUUGGAUGUUGGCGAAAAGGCACUAAUCGACCCGUCUUGAAACACGGACCAAGGAGUCCAACAUGCAUGCAAGUAUCUGGGAAUUUAAACCCAUAUGCGCAAUGAAAGUGAACUAGUAGAAACUUUUAUUAGAAUGUAACCUUGAGUAAAAUCUUGGGCAGCAUCGACCGACUUUAGAUAGCGUUGCUUGAAAAGGUUGAGUAAGAGCAUGUAUGCUGGGACCCGAAAGAUGGUGAACUAUGCCUGAAUAGGGUGAAGUCAGAGGAAACUCUGAUGGAAGCUCGUAGAGAUUCUGACGUGCAAAUCGAUCUCCAAAUUUGGGUAUAGGGGCGAAAGACUAAUCGAACCAUCUAGUAGCUGGUUCCUGC